GUGCCAGACUCCUACGGGAGGCAGCAGUGGGGAAUAUUGCACAAUGGGGGAAACCCUGAUGCAGCGACGCCGCGUGAGUGAAGAAGUAAUUCGUUCUGUAAAGCUCUAUCAGCAGGGAAGAAAAUGACGGUACCUGAAGAAGAAGCCCCGGCUAACUACGUGCCAGCAGCCGCGGUAAUACGUAGGGGGCAAGCGUUAUCCGGAUUUACUGGGUGUAAAGGGGGCGCAGACGGCGAUGCAAGCCAGGAGUGAAAGCCCGGGGCCCAACCCCGGGACUGCUCUUGGAACUGCGUGGCUGGAGUGCAGGAGGGGCAGGCGGAAUUCCUGGUGUAGCGGUGAAAUGCGUAGAUAUCAGGAGGAACACCGGUGGCGAAGGCGGCCUGCUGGACUGCAACUGACGUCGAGGCCCGAAAGCGUGGGGAGCAAACAGGAUUAGAUACCCUGGUA
rnacentral:rRNA from 1 species